rnacentral:rRNA from 1 species
UCGGAUUGAAGGCUGAAAUUCGCCUUCAUGAAGCCGGAAUUGCUAGUAAUGGCAGGUCAGCAUACUGCCGUGAAUACGUUCCCGGGCCUUGUACACACCGCCCGUCACACCAUGAGAGUUGGAGAUACCCGAAGCCUGUGAGCUAACAAACGAGGCAGCAGUCGAAGGUAGAAUCAAUGAUUGGGGUGAAGUCGUAACAAGGUAAC